GAAGGUGUAGCUCAAGUGGUAGAGCGCAUGCUUAGCAUGCACAAGGUCCUGGGUUCAAUCCCCAGUACUUCCU
rnacentral:tRNA from 1 species